GCAUGCUAUUUUUUAUUCAUAGAAUGUAUUGCAAUUACCUGAUUUACAUUUCUUAGGUGUCUUCUCUUACUUUGGAAAACCUGCAGCAUUAAAGGGGUAUAACAUUUCAAGCUGUUUUUAAGGGAAGAACAAUUUUUAGAAUAUGUCAGCUUACAGUAUUUCUGAUUUGUUUUAUCUUCCAGCCAAGAUGGCCGUCUUCAGUUUCCACGCAGGAAGAAGGACAUUCUGUGUACCACAGCAUGGAAAAUGUGGUUCGCACAAAGGCACAGCCCUGUCAGGUACUGCGUGUAGUGAAAUGAUUCUUAUCGGCUUAAACACAGGAAAUCUUUUAAAGGUUCUCACUUAAGUACAAUUCCUGUAGACGUACCGAUUGAAUUGAAAUGGGUCUUACAGCAAUGU